AGAGUUUGAUUCUGGCUCAGGAUGAACGCUAGCUACAGGCUUAACACAUGCAAGUCGAGGGGCAACAUGAUUGAAGCUUGCUUCAAUUGAUGGCGACCGGCGCACGGGUGAGUAACGCGUAUCCAACCUUCCGUACACUCAGGGAUAGCCUUUCGAAAGAAAGAUUAAUACCUGAUGGUAUGAUGAGAUUGCAUGAUAGCAUCAUUAAAGAUUUAUCGGUGUACGAUGGGGAUGCGUUCCAUUAGGUAGUAGGCGGGGUAACGGCCCACCUAGCCAACGAUGGAUAGGGGUUCUGAGAGGAAGGUCCCCCACAUUGGAACUGAGACACGGUCCAA
rnacentral:rRNA from 1 species